GGUCUGAACAGUGAACUCCGCAUCGACUCACGCGUUCACCUCCUUCCGGUCUAAAUGGUAAACUCCUCUGCAUUGUAAUUCUGUUCGGUUCUAUUUUGGUGGGGCCCACGCGUCAUCACAGAGUAUCUGGGAGCCCUGCCCUCUUGCAGAUGGGAAUGAAGGCCCAGGUGCUCUGGAGAGGUGACUCUCCUCUAGGUGAGGGGUGUGUGUGUGAGAGGAGUGAGGUGCGGUGUGGGAGGGUCCUUGCAGGGUCCGGCUGCUUUCGGAGGCUGUUUUUCUCAGCUCCCCGUUUUGUCCCUCCAAAUUGUGCCCCUCUCCUUCCAAUUGUCACUCUCCUUUCCCCCAACCCUCCCUGUCUCCCAGUUGUCUCGCUUCUCAGAAAGGAAACACUGGUUCUGUAAACCUGUUUGAGAAGAAAAGCUCGAGGUUUCUUGGCCUCUCUGCUUCUGGAGCCAGGGGAAAAAAUAGCCCCAGGCUGAAGACAGGAGGGACCAGAUUGCUGCUUGGUGAUGCGAUCUCACUGCAGAGGCAGCCAGGAGACCCUCCUGAGACGAAUCGGAGAGUCCAUGCUGCUUUUACACACAUCCUAGUUCUUUUAUAACUAGCCUUUUCCUAUUAACGGACAUCAUUCAAAAGCCAGUUUUAAGCAACAUAAAUAUUGAAAACAAUACUAUACUAUUUAGAAUUAAUUAUAAGUUUUGUUUUUAAAGCCUAAAUCUUUUAUUGUUGUUUGAACCCUGGGCACUGAAGCUAAUAAUGUAACUUUUCUCCCUUCUUUCUUCUUUGGCAUAGAUUUAAAGAACUGUUAGACUCAUUUAAAAUGCUAUUAGGCAUUUUAAAGAGUAAUUGUUAAAUGUGUUGUCUCUUGUGGGACUGGAAAUGUUCUGUUCUUAUCUGGCGCUGGUUACAUCCUGUUUUUCAUUUGGGAAAGUGCAUUGAGCUGGAAAUUUAUAUGUUCAAUUUCUGUAUGUAAAUUGUACUUCAGUAAAAAUUUUCAAAAAA
rnacentral:lncRNA from 1 species